rnacentral:rRNA from 1 species
UACGUAGGGUGCAAGCGUUGUCCGGAAUUAUUGGGCGUAAAGAGCUUGUAGGCGGUUUGUCACGUCUGCUGUGAAAUCCCGAGGCUCAACCUCGGGCCUGCAGUGGGUACGGGCAGACUGGAGUGCGGUAGGGGAGAAUGGAAUUCCUGGUGUAGCGGUGGAAUGCGCAGAUAUCAGGAGGAACACCGAUGGCGAAGGCAGUUCUCUGGGCCGUAACUGACGCUGAGGAGCGAAAGCGUGGGGAGCGAACAGG